UCUGCGAGACUACGUUAGUGUUCGCUGUUCGCGUAUAGUGCUUGCGCGUGUUCUAAACUUCGUUUUUCCGUAACUGAUUUUUUUAUUCGGAAAAUCAAGUGUCAACAUCAGUUAUGAAGUGCAGAAGUCAUAAUGAUCGUACGCUAGUAGAUUAAAGAUAAUUGGGCCAUGCAGCCAAAUGAAGGGUCAAGUGGGACUGGUCGAGGUAGAUUUGAGGGUGACGAUGUCUCGAGAGCUCGAGUGUCAUGUGUAAAUUCUUAUCAUC